rnacentral:lncRNA from 1 species
GUCAGGACCUCGACCGGAGGCUUCCGCGAAGCGGCAGAUGUGUGGCGGAGGGUGGAGCGCGGCGACCUGCUUAAACCCCUGCGGAAAGCAGCCGGCCGGGACGGCUGAGCGGGGCCGCGCUCCGGCUCCAGCCGCUCCCCGGAGCGAGUCUUGGCAGCGCUUCCCGCGCCGUGCGGGGAGCGGGACGGGGCCGAGCGGGGUCUCCGGUGGGAAGGGCACCCAGGGCAGGAGCCGUCCCGCCUGGAGGGCGCGUCCCGGGGCGCCCGCUGCGACCGCGCUGCCCUCGGCGGGACGAGAGCCCGUCGCAAAACUGGCCGCGGGAGCUGGGGGAUUCUCCCUGCGCAGCCGCUCCGCAAGCAGCUGUCGGUGCAAGGAGAUCUGCUGCACAUGCGAGCGGCGGCCGCGGAGCCCCGCUAACCCCUUCGGUGCCGGCCGAGGCCCCAGCGCCGGCCGUGGGGUCCACGGGGCUGGGGCGCGCGGGGGAUGCGCCCCGGGGACGGGCACAGAGGUUUCGGCAGGUUUCCCUCCAUCUCGCAAGCUGCCCGGAGCAGAGGUGUUUGCAGCCGCAGAUGCUGGGAAAACGAGGAGGAGACGGCGCGGAUGCUCGCGGGUGGCGUGCCUCCGGGCGUGCUUCCGCAGCGCAGGGGCGGCCCCRUUUCCAGCGCCGGGCGGAAGCAGCCCUCCUGUCCCCAAAACUCUUCGAGGUUGGAAGAUUGCCCCAGUUUUGCAUCUGAGAAAAGCUCUGCCCCACCAUGGAAGGCCAGCUUGGGUCAAGCCGGGUGUUUUUCUUCAAAAAUUUUACAGCAUUUUCAUCAUUAUUAAAAUYCCCCUUUUUAGUGCAAACGAAGUGUAGGAAGAGGGAGACAGCAGAGCAGAACCCCCCAGGUUUCUAGAUGGCUUUUGAAAAUUUCUCUCCCGGGAAUUUUGCUUAACUUGAUUCUGCUCUGCCAGCAGCCUUAGCCCUCAGCACACCAGCGUUUUCUGCAGAAACCCCAGCGCUGGGCUGCCCCGGGGGCGCGGGACGCCCCUCGCUCGGUGGGCUGGCGGGCAGAGCGCGCUGCCGGGGAUGCGAGCAGAGCCCGACCGCAGGGCCGC